UACGAAGGGGGCUAGCGUUGCUCGGAAUUACUGGGCGUAAAGGGCGCGUAGGCGGACAGUUUAGUCAGAGGUGAAAGCCCAGGGCUCAACCUUGGAAUUGCCUUUGAUACUGGCUGUCUUGAGUUCGGAAGAGGUGAGUGGAAUGCCGAGUGUAGAGGUGAAAUUCGUAGAUAUUCGGAGGAACACCAGUGGCGAAGGCGACUCACUGGACCGAUACUGACGCUGAGGCGCGAAAGCGUGGGGAGCAAACAGG
rnacentral:rRNA from 1 species